AGAACGAACGCUGGCGGCAUGCCUAAUACAUGCAAGUCGAACGAACACUUCGGUGUUAGUGGCGCACGGGUGCGUAACGCGUGGGAAUCUGCCCUUGGGUUCGGAAUAACAGUUGGAAACGACUGCUAAUACCGGAUGAUAUCGAAAGAUCAAAGAUUUAUCGCCCAGGGAUGAGCCCGCGUAGGAUUAGCUAGUUGGUGAGGUAAAGGCUCACCAAGGCGACGAUCCUUAGCUGGUCUGAGAGGAUGAUCAGCCACACUGGGACUGAGACACGGCCCAGACUCCUACGGGAGGCAGCAGUAGGGAAUAUUGGACAAGUGGGCGCAAGCCUGAUCCAGCAAUGCCGCGUGAGUGAUGAAGGCCGUUAGGGUGUAAAGCUCUUUUACCGAGAUGAUAAUGACAGUAUGGAGAAUAACGCCCCGGCUAACGUCCGACGCCAGCAGCCGACGGUAA
rnacentral:rRNA from 1 species